UACGUAGGGUGCGAGCGUUAAUCGGAAUUACUGGGCGUAAAGGGUGCGUAGGCGGUUUGCUAAGACAGGUGUGAAAUCCCCGGGCUUAACCUGGGAAUUGCGCUUGUUACUGGCAGGCUAGAGUGUGUCAGAGGGAGGUAGAAUUCCACGUGUAGCAGUGAAAUGCGUAGAGAUGUGGAGGAAUACCGAUGGCGAAGGCAGCCUCCUGGGAUAACACUGACGCUGGAGGCACGAAAGCGUGGGGAGCAAACAGG
rnacentral:rRNA from 1 species